rnacentral:ncRNA from 1 species
AGGGAACGGGCUUGGCAAUAUAAGCGGGGAAAGAAGACCCUGUUGAGCUUGACUCUAGUUUGAUAUUGUAAAACUACUUGGAAGAUGUAGCAUACGUGGGAGCAUCUAAUGCGACAGUGAAAUACCACGGCUUCUAAUGUGGCUUUGCUCACUCGGAAUUAGUGGAUCUGCUCUGCAGAAACGCGAAACUAAAGUGUAAACGACAUUCACUGAGGACAUUAUCAAAUGGGGAGUUUGGCUGGGGCGGCACAUCUGCUAAACAUCAACGCAGAUGCCCUAAGGUUAACUCAAAGAGAACAGAAAUCUCUUGUAGACCGAAAGGAGAAAAGUUAGCAUUAUUCGGAUUUGUAUCAUCAAUAAGAAUUGCGAAAGCAUGGCCUAUCGAUCCUUUAAGCCCAGAAAGAUUCUGGCUAGAGGUGACGGAAAAGUUACCACAGGGAUAACUGGCUUGUGGCAGCCAAGCGUUCAUAGCGACGUUGCUUUUGUAUCCUUCGAUGUCGGCUCUUCCUAUCAUUGAGUUGCAGAAGUCUCAAAGUGUCGGAUUGUUCACCCGUUAAUAGGGAACGUGAGCUGGGUUUAGACCGUCGUGAGACAGGUUAGUUUUAUCCUACUUAUACACGCAUCAAAAGAGUUAAUCAACUUAGUACGAGAGGAACCGUUGAUUCAAACCGCUGGUUAAGCGUUUGACUGUAAAGUCAAAGACGCAAAGCUACGUUUGAUGGAUAAUGACUGAACGCCUCUAAGUCAAAAUCCUAACUUGUGAAAAGAUGUAUUAGUCAGUAAAGGUUCGAUACUAAUAUGAAAGACUUUACGAUUAAAUAUGAUAUCAAAAUACGAUUGAUACUCAAGUAGACGUUGUACAUUUGAGAGC